rnacentral:rRNA from 1 species
UGACGAAGCGACGCCGCGUGAGCGAAGAAGGCCCUAGGGUUGUAAAGCUCUGUCGGGGGUUAUGAAAUGCAGGUUGGUUAGUACCCAACCUGUUUGACAAAGGCCCCAAAGGAAGCCACGGCUAACUCUGUGCCAGCAGCCGCGGUAAUACAGAGGUGGCAAGCGUUGUUCGGUAUUAUUGGGCGUAAAGAGCACGUAGGUGGUUUUGUAAGUCAGAUGUGAAAGCCUUCUGUUCAAAGGAAGAACGGCAUCUGAAACUGCAGAUCUUGAGUGUAGGAGGGGAGAGUGGAA